GGCUCAGAGCGAACGUUAGCGGCGGGCCUAACACAUGCAAGUCGAACGCGAAAGGUCUUCGGACUGAGUAGAGUGGCGCACGGGUGAGUAACACGUAGGUAAUCUACCCUUUGGCGGGGAUAACGUUCCGAAAGGAGCGCUAAUACCGCAUAAGACCACGGAGUCUCCGGACGCUGUGGGAAAAGGUGGCCUCUUCUUGAAAGCUACCACCGAAGGAUGAGCCUGCGUCCCAUCAGCUAGUUGGUAAGGUAAUGGCUUACCAAGGCGAAGACGGGUAGCUGGUUUGAGAGAAUGAUCAGCCACACUGGCACUGGAACACGGGCCAGACUCCUACGGGAGGCAGCAGUGAGGAAUAUUGGGCAAUGGGCGAAAGCCUGACCCAGCCACGCCGCGUGAGUGAUGAAGGCCCUCGGGUCGUAAAGCUCUGUGGAGAGGGACGAAAACCCUGGUUUCAAAUAGGCUCCAGGCUUGACGGUACCUCUUUAGCAAGCACCGGCUAACUCUGUG
rnacentral:rRNA from 1 species